CGUAUACGUAAGCUCCCGAAGGGAGCUAGAGAGGUAACUCUUUUCGCGCGUUUUUAUUUCCCAUAGGUUUUGUACACAGCCAAUAUGGCUGCCGGCGGACAAUUUGAAGGGUGAUUUUGGAGGGUCAAUGUUUUAUUCAUAAGAAUGACGUCAAAUUACGCAAAAUACACUUCUAUGAUUGGCUAAGAAGCUAAUGUUUUAUUCAUAUAUUAUGAAUUAAACACGUUUUUUCCUUCCCACAAUUCCCUACGAGAUCUGUGCGAAGUGUUGUUCUUUUGGACUCUGCGAAUUUCCAGUUUUUACAACGAAAUAGCUCGACUAAUCAUCUGUUUAUAGAAUUGAUGUUCGAAAUCGUGAUUUCGGAGUGAACUUCAUUGGAGCAGAAAAUCUUGGAGGGAACAUCAAUAUUAAUUUAAUGACAUUCCAUAAGAAUAAAAAUCCAAUAGGACGAAGAUCUUAGCAGUUCACACCCGGUCAGAGGGACAAAAUUGAGAACCAUGCAGAUCAGCUGCAAGUGUGAGUUACACUCUAAUGAGGAACAGGACAUCUGAAUUGGUUGGAAAAUUGCAAGGUUUCCCACUGUCCAAGCUGUUUAAGUACUGGUAUCACAAGUACCAAGAUGGAAGAUAUAUGAAGGCCAAGCUAAUAAGUAGUUACUUCAAAUUAAUUUGAAUAGAUAUAUCAACAAAGCAGUGAAUGUUCUUUAAACUGCACAUCUGUAGAAAAGAGUUCAGGUUCAUCAGUGGGCAAUGACAUUAAAGUAUACAAAAUUUCACACAAAAUACAAGGAAGAAAUAUUUUUUUUCCAAUGGGCAAAUGU
rnacentral:lncRNA from 1 species